UACCGUGAGGGAAAGGCGAAAAGAACCCCGGCGAGGGGAGUGAAAAAGAACCUGAAACCGUGUACGUACAAGCAGUGGGAGCACCUUCGGGUGUGACUGCGUACCUUUUGUAUAAUGGGUCAGCGACUUAUAUUCUGUAGCAAGGUUAACCGUAUAGGGGAGCCGCAGGGAAACCGAGUCUUAACUGGGCGUUAAGUUGCAGGGUAUAGACCCGAAACCCGGUGAUCUAGCCAUGGGCAGGUUGAAGGUUGGGUAACACUAACUGGAGGACCGAACCGACUAAUGUUGAAAAAUUAGCGGAUGACUUGUGGCUGGGGGUGAAAGGCCAAUCAAACCGGGAGAUAGCUGGUUCUCCCCGAAAGCUAUUUAGGUAGCGCCUCGUGAACUCAUCUUCGGGGGUAGAGCACUGUUUCGGCUAGGGGGUCAUCCCGACUUACCAACCCGAUGCAAACUACGAAUACCGAAGAAUGUUAUCACGGGAGACACACGGCGGGUGCUAACGUCCGUCGUGAAGAGGGAAACAACCCAGACCGCCAGCUAAGGUCCCAAAGUCAUGGUUAAGUGGGAAACGAUGUGGGAAGGCACAGACAGCCAGGAUGUUGGCUUAGAAGC
rnacentral:rRNA from 1 species